AGUGAACGCUGGCGGCAGGCCUAACACAUGCAAGUCGAACGGCAGCACAGUAAUAGCUUGCUCUUUCGGGUGGCGACUGGCGGGUGAUUCAUGAAUACAUCCCAAUCUACUUUUUCUUGGGUGAUAACGUAGGCACUCUUACGCUAAUACCGCAUACGACCUACGUGUGAAAUCAUGGGAUCUUCCGACCUUGCGUGAUCCUAUGUGCCGAUGUCGGAUUAGCUAGUUGGCGGGGUAAAGGCCCACCAAGGCGACGAUCCGUAGCUGGUCUGAGAGGAUGAUCAGCCACACUGGAACUGAGACACGGUCCAGACUCCUACGGGAGGCAGCAGUGGGGAAUAUUGGACAAUGGGCGAAAGCCUGAUCCAGCCAUGCCGCGUGUGUGAAGAAGGCCUUCGGAUUGUAAAGCACUUUUGUUGGGAAAGAAAGGCAGCAGGUUAAUACCCCGCUGUUUUGACGGUACCAAAAGAAUAAGCACCGGCUAACUUCGUG
rnacentral:rRNA from 1 species